rnacentral:rRNA from 1 species
GACGAACGCUGGCGGCGUGCUUAACACAUGCAAGUCGAACGGAAAGGCCCUGCUUUUGUGGGGUGCUCGAGUGGCGAACGGGUGAGUAACACGUGGGUGACCUGCCCUUGACUUUGGGAUAACUUCGGGAAACUGGGGCUAAUACCGGAUAGGAGCUCCCGCUGCGGGGUGGGUGUUGGGAUGUUUCGGCGGUGGGGGAUGGACGCGCGGCUUAUCAGCUUGUUGGUGGGGUAGUGGCUUACCAAGGCUUUGACGGGUAGCCGGCCUGAGAGGGUGGCCGGCCACAUUGGGACUGAGACACGGCCCAGACUCCUACGGGAGGCAGCAGUGGGGAAUAUUGCACAAUGGGCGGAAGCCUGAUGCAGCAACGCCGCGUGCGGGAUGACGGCCUUCGGGUUGUAAACCGCUUUCGCCUGUGACGAAGCGUGAGUGACGGUAAUUGGUAAAGAAGCACCGGCUAACUACGUG